rnacentral:rRNA from 1 species
CACGUAGUUAGCCGGAGCUUAUUCUACAGGUACUGUCUUGUUUCUUCCCUGUCUAAAGCAGUUUACAAUCCGAAAACCUUCUUCCUGCACGCGGCGUCACUGCGUCAGAGUUUCCUCCAUUGCGCAAUAUUCCCGACUGCUGCCUCCCGUAGGAGUCUGGGCCGUAUCUCAGUCCCAAUGUGGCCGUUCAACCUCUCAGUCCGGCUACUGAUCGUCGACUUGGUAGGCCGUUACCCCACCAACUAUCUAAUCAGACGCAAGCCCAUCUAUCAGCGAAUUGCUUCUUUCCCUUUUGUAACAUGUGUUACUAAGGCAUAUGCGGUAUUAGCAGUCAUUUCUAACUGUUGUUCCCCUCUGAUAGGCAGGUUGCUUACGUGUUACUCACCAGUCCGCCACUAACCGCUCCAAUAGUAAACUAAUGGUUAAGUCCGUUCGACUUGCAUGUCUUAUGUGCGCCGCCAGCGUUUUAUCCUGAGCCAGGAUCAAACUCU